UUCUUAACAGAAAUAAACCUGAAAGAUUUAUAUGAUGAAUAUCACAAAGAACUCUGUCACAUUUUUUCUUGUCAUAAUACUGACAAUUUCGUUAUUAGACAACAAUGUUUUAGCCGCAGGACCACCAAACUGUUUUGCUAAAUGUGCAAUAGGAUAUUAUGAAGAUUAUGAAUGCCACAUUGACUGUGCAAUGAAAAAUUAUCGUACUGGACAUUGUGUUCCAAAUAAGAGCACUGGAAAAUGUUGUUGCACUAGUUGGUGAUUUAAGCGAUGAACUAUGUUUUUAUGAGCUUUUAUGGUUUUGGUUUCCAAUUGAAAUAUGUACUAAAUUCAUCAAAAUAAAAACUAUUUUACUAUA